UCCGUAAUACAAUUCAGUGUUAUCAACUAUGGCUGAGGAUUAUUCACUGUUCACUGUGUGCCGGGCACUGGGCCAAAUGCUUUACAUAAAGGAAUACUCAGAACAGCUCCGUUUCUCAGGCUCAGCCACAGGAUUUACCUGUUGGGGUCCCCCCACAAGUACAGUGUCGCUGACCUCCAACAGAUCGCAGAAGGAACCUACGAAGGGUUCCUCGAUGGCCUGAUUGCAUUUGGGUCCCAGCACAUCUACCACUGCGACCUGUGCACCCAGCGUGGCUUCAUCUGCCAGAUCUGCCACCACCACGACAUCAUCUUCCC